rnacentral:rRNA from 2 species
UAUUUAAUGAAAAUAAAGUAAUUGUUAUAUUUUAUGUUUAUGUAUGAAAGUAUAGGAACUGAAAAGGAUUAGUGACCCUUGUAAACUAUACUGUAAAAUAUAGGUAUUAACAGAUGAAAGUUUUUUGUAAAGCUAACGCGUAAAUACCUUACCUGGGUAGUACAACCGCAAGGUUUAAACUUAAAAAAAUUGGCGGGACCUAAUUUAAUGGUGGAGCAUGUGAUUUAAUUCGGUAAUCCUCGCAAAACCUUACUAACAUUCUAAUAAUUUUUGUUUUUAUUUGAUAUAUAAUAAAUUUAAAUUAUUUUGAGUACUGCAUGGCUGUCGUCAGUUCGAAUUGUGAAACGUAAAAUUAAGUUUUAAUAGCGAACGCAACCCUAACUUUAUUAUAAUGUUAUUAACCAUUAAUUUGGUUAAUUUAGGAUGAGGGCAAGUCUUUACGAUCUUUAAAUGUUAGGCUAUCCAUUUGU